UACGUAGGUGGCGAGCGUUGUCCGGAUUUACUGGGCGUAAAGAGCGCGCAGGCGGUCGUGCAAGUCGCGUGUGAAAGCCCCCGGCUCAACUGGGGAGGGUCACGCGAUACUGCUCGACUCGAAGGCAGGAGAGGGAAGUGGAAUUCCCGGUGUAGUGGUGAAAUGCGUAGAUAUCGGGAGGAACACCAGUGGCGAAGGCGGCCUUCUGGACCAAUACUGACGCUCAUGCACGAAAGCGUGGGGAGCAAACAGG
rnacentral:rRNA from 1 species